rnacentral:snRNA from 1 species
AACGCCUGUAUCUAAGACGACAUGCUGCAAUUACCACUUGUUCGUUAAUUCACCCUGGCAAUAUUGAUUUGAGUAUGGAAAUGAAUUAUUCAAUAUAAUACUGGUCAGAAUUUUUUUACUUUUGGCUGGGUAAAUAAGUGCUCAAAUAGGUGA